AUCGAACGCUGGCGGCAGGCCUAACACAUGCAAGUCGAGCGAUUGGCGGACGGGGGAGUAAUGUAGGGGGACUGCCCGAGAGAGGGGGAUAACUACUGGAAACGGUAGCUAAUACCGCAUACUAUCGGAUAACCCAUAUGGGAUUAGCUAGUAGGUGAGGUAAUGGCUUACCUAGGCGACGAUCCCUAGCUGGUCUGAGAGGAUGAUCAGCCACACUGGGACUGAGACACGGCCCAGACUCCUACGGAGGCAGCAGUGGGGAAUAUUGCGCAAUGGGCGCAAGCCUGAUGCAGCAAUGCCGCGUGUAUGAAGAAGGCCUUAGGGUUGUAAAGCUCUUUCAGUCGGGAGGCGUUACCGAAAGAAGAAGCACCGGCUAACUACGUGCCAGCAGCCGCGGUAAUAC
rnacentral:rRNA from 1 species